AUUUUCUAACGGUUGUAUGAAAUUGAAAUAAAAUGAUAAGUAAAUGUAUGAAAUUGAAAUGUUUUAAAGAUGUUAAAAAUUGAAAUUAAUCCUAAACCUAAGAGGGUAAAAUAUAAUUUACCCUUGAGUAAUCAUGAAUAAAUUAAUUUCGUGUUACCAUGUGCUGUGCUGGUGAGAGGACUUUGGGAUUGGAGGGAGGACCAGAGAGAGACGUUUGGAUUUGAGAAAAGCAAUUGGUAUUGAAAAUUGAGAUAUCAUACAAUGUAUACCAUGGCAUGGUCGGUUCUAGCUUUUUCUCUUCCUUGAAGUUAGAAUUAGCUUUUCACAUAACAUGGAUGAUCAGUACGAGACACUCAUCCGAAGAAUGAAUCCAGGAAGGAUUCCUCAAGUCAAAUUGCCACCAGGGUAAUCAGAAAAGAAAAAAAAAAGAUUUGGUCUCUGGUUACAAGAUGACUUCACCUCUCCCUCUCUCUCUCCAAAACUCAAUUUUGAAGUUAUUGUGCAUAUUUUUUUUUCGGAUCACUGUCACCUUUAGACUUUGUCUUAUGGUUUUAUCAUCGUACAUCGUUGGUUGGCUGUCUUUGUUUUCUUCUGCAGCAUGGAGGGUUGUGCAAGGCGUUUUUUGCAAUUUAUUGCAAAAUAAUGUCAAUUUUCCCUUCUUUGGAUACAGCUCAACCUCGGAGCAAGUCUGGUAUCUAUUUACGUUCGUUGCAUGUAGAACUUGAAAAGGCUAAGAAUGUAGUAAACUUUAUUUGGCCGGUAUCUCCUCAAAUAUUACAUUUGUACUUGAUGCAGUUAUCGUUGCUCCAACUUUUUAAGUGAACAAUUAUUUUCCCCUUUCUACUUUGAAGAAAUAGAAUUCUCUUUAGAUAUUUAAAUUUAUUUCA